GGAUAUGGUGGUGAUGUGUGGUUCCCACAGCCAGCACCAAAGGAUCGGAUCACCCCUGGCGCUACAUGCCUAACAAUGCCAUGACCCCUCACAUCUCUGGGACUACAAUUGAUGUGCAGCUGCGGUAUGCGGAUGGUGUGAGGGACAUGCUGGAUAGGUAUUUCAAGGGCGAGGACUUCCCGGUGCAGAACUACAUCGUCAAGGAAGGCCAGCUCGCCAGUCAGUACCAGUGACCGCGCGAGAUGUUGCUGUGCUGUGUAGGCUUUUCUGGUGAGAAGCUGCGAGGAAGAAACUCCUGUUGCGUACUUGCGUUACUGUAUGAGUAGCUCUGAGAAAUCUGUCAGCGGCCACCUGUAAUAAAAGAAUGCCUUGCUGGUAUCUCA